rnacentral:tRNA from 1 species
GGGGCCGUAGCUCAGUUGGGAGCGCGCGUCGUUCGCAAGGACGAGGUCACAGGUUCGAUCCCGAUCGGCUCCA